UAGAACGACCAUACCACGUUAGGAACACCGGUUCUCGUUCGAUCACCGAAGUUAAACAACGCUGGACCCGAUUAGUACUUGCAUGAUUAACUGGCUGGGAAUAUCGGGUGUCACAGAGU
rfam:Schistosoma rodhaini strain Burundi genome assembly, scaffold: SROB_scaffold0012732